AGUGAACGCUGGCGGUAGGCCUAACACAUGCAAGUCGAACGGCAGCACAGUAAGAGCUUGCUCUUACGGGUGGCGAGUGGCGGACGGGUGAGGAAUACAUCGGAAUCUACUUUUUCGUGGGGGAUAACGUAGGGAAACUUACGCUAAUACCGCAUACGACCUACGGGUGAAAGCAGGGGAUCUUCGGACCUUGCGCGAUUGAAUGAGCCGAUGUCGGAUUAGCUAGUUGGCGGGGUAAAGGCCCACCAAGGCGACGAUCCGUAGCUGGUCUGAGAGGAUGAUCAGCCACACUGGAACUGAGACACGGUCCAGACUCCUACGGGAGGCAGCAGUGGGGAAUAUUACGCGAUGGGCGCAAGCCUGAUCCAGCCAAACCGCGUGAGUGAAGAAGGCCUUCGGGUUGUAAAGCCCUUUUGUUGGGAAAGAAAAGCAGCAGGUUAAUACCCCGCUGUUCUGACGGUACCCAAAGAAUAAGCACCGGCUAACUUCGUG
rnacentral:rRNA from 1 species